UACGUAGGGUGCGAGCGUUGUCCGGAAUGAUUGGGCGUAAAGGGCUCGUAGGCGGUUUGUCGCGUCGGGAGUGAAAACCAGGUGCUUAACACCUGGCUUGCUUUCGAUACGGGCAGACUAGAGGUAUGCAGGGGAGAACGGAAUUCCUGGUGUAGCGGUGAAAUGUGCAGAUAUCAGGAGGAACACCGGUGGCGAAGGCGGUUCUCUGGGCAUGAUCUGACGCUGAGGAGCGAAAGUGUGGGGAGCGAACAGG
rnacentral:rRNA from 1 species